rnacentral:rRNA from 1 species
UACGGGGGGGGGCAAGCGUUGUUCGGAAUUACUGGGCGUAAAGGGCUCGUAGGUGGCCAACUAAGUCGGACGUGAAAUCCCUCAGCUUAACUGGGGAACUGCGUCUGAUACUGGAUGGCUUGAGUUUGGGAGAGGGAUGCGGAAUUCCAGGUGUAGCGGUGAAAUGCGUAGAUAUCUGGAGGAACACCGGUGGCGAAGGCGGCAUCCUGGACCAAUACUGACGCUGAGGAGCGAAAGCCAGGGGAGCAAACGGG